GAUGAACGCUGGCGGCGUGCCUAAUACAUGCAAGUCGAGCGAAUGGAUUAAGAGCUUGCUCUUAUGAAGUUAGCGGCGGACGGGUGAGUAACACGUGGGUAACCUGCCCAUAAGACUGGGAUAACUCCGGGAAACCGGGGCUAAUACCGGAUAACAUUUUGAACCGCAUGGUUCGAAAUUGAAAGGCGGCUUCGGCUGUCACUUAUGGAUGGACCCGCGUCGCAUUAGAUAGUUGGUGAGGUAGCGGCUCACCAAGGCAACGAUGCGUAGCCGACCUGAGAGGGUGAUCGGCCACACUGGGACUGAGACACGGCCCAGACUCCUACGGGAGGCAGCAGUAGGGAAUCUUCCGCAAUGGACGAAAGUCUGACGGAGCAACGCCGCGUGAGUGAUGAAGGCUUUCGGGUCGUAAAACUCUGUUGUUAGGGAAGAACAAGUGCUAGUUGAAUAAGCUGGCACCUUGACGGUACCUAACCAGAGAGCCACGGCUAACUACGUGCCAGCCGCCGCCGUAA
rnacentral:rRNA from 1 species